rnacentral:tRNA from 1 species
GCGGGGAUAGCUCAGCUGGUAGAGUGAUAGUCUGAUAAGCUACGUCUAACAUUGACGAUACAUAGGUAGUAUCAAAGAUUUACUCAGCUAUCUUGGCGGUGGUUUGAAUCCAUCUCCCCGCU